rnacentral:rRNA from 1 species
GACAGAGGUGCCGAGCGUUAGGCGGAAUCACUGGGCUUAAAGCGUGUGUAGGCGGACUCGUAAGUGCUUUGUGAAAUCCCAUGGCUCACCCAUGGAACUGCUUGGCAUACUGCGAGCCUUGAGCCACUUAGGGGCAACCGGAACAAACGGUGGAGCGGUGAAAUGCGUAGAUAUCUGGAGGAACACCGGUGGCGAAGGCGGCAUCCUGGACCGGCAGUGGACGCUGAGGCGCGAAAGCGUGGGGAGCGAACGAGG